rnacentral:rRNA from 1 species
UGCGUAGGCGGAAUAUUAAGUCAGUGGUGAAAUCCUGCGGCCCAACCGUAGAACUGCCAUUGAUACUGAUAUUCUUGAAUAUAGUUGAGGUAAGCGGAAUGUGUAAUGUAGCGGUGAAAUGCUUAGAUAUUACACAGAACACCGAUUGCGAAGGCGGCUUGCUAAACUAUUAUUGACGCUGAUGCACGAAAGCGUGGGGAGCGAACAGGAUUAGAUACCCUGGUAGUC